rnacentral:rRNA from 1 species
CAGUAGCCGCGGGAAAACGAAGGGUGCAAGCGUUACUCGGAAUUACUGGGCGUAAAGCGUGCGUAGGUGGUUGUUUAAGUCUGCUGUGAAAGCCCUGGGCUCAACCUGGGAAUUGCAGUGGAUACUGGGCAACUAGAGUAAGGUAGAGGAUAGUGGAAUUUCCGGUGUAGCAGUGAAAUGCGUAGAGAUCGGAAGGAACAUCUGUGGCGAAGGCGACUAUCUGGGCCAACACUGACACUGAGGCACGAAAGCGUGGGGAGCAAACAGGAUUAGAUACCCGCGUAGUCCCUGUCUCUUAUAA